GAGGCAUUUUAGGAAAGCCCAAAGCAAAGUCAUGAGAGCUUAGGCUCAAAUUGGAUAAUAUCAUACCAUUGUGUAGAUCUGUGAUUCCUAAUAGACUAUCAAAGUCAUGCCCCUAACU